UGAGAACACCCAGUCCCCAGAGUACAGUGAGGCGCAGACUGAUGUAGUGGAAGUUGUAGUUGGUCCUGCUGAGCAGGUUCCAGGACUCCAGCUCUUCAGCUGAGAACCUCUUGGUCACUUCAUCAUCCAUGAUGGUCUCGAUGCCUUUGCGGCAGAAAUAGAAGAUAUCUGAGAGCUCAAACUCAGGGGCGUCCAGGGCUUUGCCACUGCCACUCCGACGGAUCUCUUUGAUCUCCUCUUCCAGUGAUGUUGGCUCCUUUGCAAUGAUACCAUUGACAUAGGGCUUGUAUAGUGGAUGGUUCUUCUCCUUGGCACCACGCUCUAUUCUCAGUGUUGCC
rnacentral:lncRNA from 1 species